CCUACGGGAGGCAGCAGUGAGGAAUAUUGGUCAAUGGGCGAGAGCCUGAACCAGCCAAGUAGCGUGAAGGAUGACUGAGCUAUGGGUUGUAAACUUCUUUUAUAAAGGAAUAAAGUGAGGAACGUGUUCCUUUUUGUAUGUACUAUAUGAAUAAGGAUCGGCUAACUCCGUGCCAGCAGCCGCGGUAAUACGGAGGCUGCGAGCGUUAUCCGGAGUUAUUGGGUUUAAAGUGUGAGUAGGUGGGUUGUUAAUUCAGUUGUGAAAGUUUGUGGCUCAACCAUAAAAUUGCAGUUGAUACUGGGUGACUUGAGUACAGUUGAGGUAGGCGGAAUGAGUGGUGUAGCGGUGAAAUGCUUAGAUAUCACGCAGAACUCCGAUUGCGAAGGCAGCUUACUAAACUACAACUGACACUGAAGCUCGAAAGCGUGGGGAUCAAACAGGAUUAGAUACCCGAGUAGUC
rnacentral:rRNA from 1 species